GUUGCACGACUGUCGUCAGUUCGUGUCGUGAGAUGUUUGGUUCAUUCCUUUAAACGAGCGUAACUCUUAUUUUUAAAAGUUUACUUCUAAUUUUUGAUGUUUAUCAAAAAUUUUGCUUUAAAAAGACUGUUUUGUUAACAAUAAAUACUUUAAAGGAAGGUGAGAAUUAAGUCAAGUCACUGUGGCCCUUAUGGGUUGGGCUACACACGUGCUACAAUGAAAAAAACAAAAAGUAACAAAAAUAAAUAAUUUUCGUUAAUCUUUAAAAAUUUUCUUAGUUCGGAUUGUAAACUGCAACUCGUUUACAUAAAGAUGGAAUCACAAGUAAUCGCAAAUCAGAACGUUGCGGUGAAUACGUACCUUGGCUUUGUACACACCGCCCGUCACAUGCAGAAAGCUAGUUUUACCUGAAAUUUAAAUUUUUUUAUUUUUUUUGAGUUUAAGUUUUUUCUAAAAAGGUAAAAAAACUAAUUCAUUGAAAAAUUAGUAAUUUGGAUG
rnacentral:rRNA from 1 species